AUUCCAGCUCCAAUAGCGUAUAUUAAAGUUGUUGCAGUUAAAAAGCUCGUAGUUGGACUUCUGAUGUGGGACUGCGCCCCGGUAUUUUGCCGUUGGGUGCGGGCUCGCGUCUUCCUCUCGUAGUUGGAUGGUGCACUUAACUGGGUGCCUUCUGAAUAUGGGACCUUUACUUUGAAAAAAUUAGAGUGUUCAAAGCAGGCAAUCGCUUGAAUACAUUAGCAUGGAAUAAUAGAAUAGGACUUUGGUUCUAUUUUGUUGGUUUCUAGGACCGAGGUAAUGAUUAAUAGGGACAGUUGGGGGCAUUAGUAUUUAAUUGUCAGAGGUGAAAUUCUUGGAUUUAUGAAAGACUAACUACUGCGAAAGCAUUUGCCAAGGAUGUUUUCAUCA
rnacentral:rRNA from 1 species